GAUCCUCAACACAGCCUCCGGCAGACCCUCCAAACGUGCAACAUAGUCACCCGCCACAACAGCCACCUCAUUACUAUCAACCCCACGAACCGACAACAACAAUGCCAGGAUACUCUCACCCUCCAACCCCAUACAACACUUCACAGCCACAGCCGCCUCCUCCAUAUCACAUCCAUCCGGCACCCGGUGCUCCUUACCCACCUCCUCAAGUCCAACAGCAGCAACCGCCACAGCCAGGACAAGAGUAUAGCCAGCCGGCCUAUCCCGGAUGGCGGGGUCCAUACUA
rnacentral:lncRNA from 1 species